rnacentral:rRNA from 1 species
GAGGAAUUUUGCGCAAUGGGGGAGACCCUGACGCAGCAACGCCGCGUGAGUGAAGAAGGCCCUUGGGUCGUAAAACUCUGUCAACAGGGAAGAAAUUAUUGUGUAUUAAUAGUGCACAUUAUUGACGGUACCU